GAUGAACGCUAGCUACAGGCUUAACACAUGCAAGUCGAGGGGCAGCAUGGUCUUAGCUUGCUAAGGCCGAUGGCGACCGGCGCACGGGUGAGUAACACGUAUCCAACCUGCCGUCUACUCUUGGACAGCCUUCUGAAAGGAAGAUUAAUACAAGAUGGCAUCAUGAGUCCGCAUGUUCACAUGAUUAAAGGUAUUCCGGUAGACGAUGGGGAUGCGUUCCAUUAGAUAGUAGGCGGGGUAACGGCCCACCUAGUCUUCGAUGGAUAGGGGUUCUGAGAGGAAGGUCCCCCACAUUGGAACUGAGACACGGUCCAAACUCCUACGGGAGGCAGCAGUGAGGAAUAUUGGUCAAUGGGCGAGAGCCUGAACCAGCCAAGUAGCGUGAAGGAUAACUGCCCUAUGGGUUGUAAACUUCUUUUAUAAAGGAAUAAAGUCGGGUAUGGAUACCCGUUUGCAUGUACUUUAUGAAUAAGGAUCGGCUAACUCCGUGCCAGCAGCCGCGGUAAUACGGAGGAUCCGAGCGUUAUCCGGAUUUAUUGGGUUUAAAGGGAGCGUAGAUGGAUGUUUAAGUCAGUUGUGAAAGUUUGCGGCUCAACCGUAAAAUUGCAGUUGAUACUGGAUAUCUUGAGUGCAGUUGAGGCAGGCGGAAUUCGUGGUGUAGCGGUGAAAUGCUUAGAUAUCACGAAGAAUUCCGAUUGCGAAGGCAGCCUGCUAAGCUGCAACUGACAUUGAGGCUCGAAAGUGUGGGUAUCAAACAGGAUUAGAUACCCUGGUAGUCCACACGGUAAACGAUGAAUACUCGCUGUUUGCGAUAUACUGCAAGCGGCCAAGCGAAAGCGUUAAGUAUUCCACCUGGGGAGUACGCCGGCAACGGUGAAACUCAAAGGAAUUGACGGGGGCCCGCACAAGCGGAGGAACAUGUGGUUUAAUUCGAUGAUACGCGAGGAACCUUACCCGGGCUUAAAUUGCAGAUGAAUUACGGUGAAAGCCGUAAGCCGCAAGGCAUCUGUGAAGGUGCUGCAUGGUUGUCGUCAGCUCGUGCCGUGAGGUGUCGGCUUAAGUGCCAUAACGAGCGCAACCCUUGUUGUCAGUUACUAACAGGUUCCGCUGAGGACUCUGACAAGACUGCCAUCGUAAGAUGUGAGGAAGGUGGGGAUGACGUCAAAUCAGCACGGCCCUUACGUCCGGGGCUACACACGUGUUACAAUGGGGGGUACAGAGGGCCGCUACCACGCGAGUGGAUGCCAAUCCCCAAAACCUCUCUCAGUUCGGACUGGAGUCUGCAAACCCGACUCCACGAAGCUGGAUUCGCUAGUAAUCGCGCAUUCAGCCACGGGCGCGGUGAAAUACGUUUCCCGAACCCU
rnacentral:rRNA from 1 species